GGGAGCUAAAGGCCUUAGUGGUGGGCAAAAGAGGAGAGUUAGCAUUUGUAUAGAGAUCCUAACACACCCAAAACUUCUCUUCCUUGAUGAACCUACAAGUGGGCUUGAUAGUGCAGCUUCAUAUUAUGUCAUGAGUAGAAUUGCAACUUUGGAACAGAAAGAUGGGAUUAGAAGAACUAUCAUUGCAUCCAUUCAUCAGCCUAGCAGUGAAGUCUUUCAGCUAUUUAAUACCCUUUGCCUUCUUUCUUCUAGCAAAGUGGUAUAUUUUGGCCCAGCUUCUGCAGCAAAUAAGUUUU
rnacentral:misc_RNA from 1 species